rnacentral:rRNA from 1 species
UACGUAGGGUGCGAGCGUUGUCCGGAAUUACUGGGCGUAAAGAGCUCGUAGGUGGUUUGUCGCGUUGUUCGUGAAAACUCACAGCUCAACUGUGGGCGUGCGGGCGAUACGGGCAGACUAGAGUACUGCAGGGGAGACUGGAAUUCCUGGGUGUAGCGGUGGAAUGCGCAGAUAUCAGGAGGAACACCGGUGGCGAAGGCGGGUCUCUGGGCAGUAACUGACGCUGGAGGAGCGAAAGCGUGGGGAGCGAACAGG